GCUUGUCUCAAAGAUUAAGCCAUGCAUGUCUAAGUAUAAAUAGUAUACAGUGAAACUGCGAAUGGCUCAUUAAAACAGUUAUAGUUUAUUUGAUAAUUGAAAAUUACAUGGAUAACCGUGGUAAUUCUAGAGCUAAUACAUGCUAUCAAGCCCGACUUCUUGAAGGGUUGUAUUUAUUAGACUUAAGCCAAUAUUCCUUGUGUCUAUUGCGAUGAUUCAUAAUAACUUUGGGCUGAUCGUAUGGCCUUGUGCCGACGACGUUUCCUUCGAAGGUGUGCCCUAUCAACUGUCGACUGUGAUAUAGACGCUCACAGUGGUUUUGACGGGUAACGGGGAAUCAGGGUUCGAUUCCGGAGAGGGAGCCUUAAAAACGGCUACCACAUCCAAGGAAGGCAGCAGG
rnacentral:rRNA from 1 species